rnacentral:rRNA from 1 species
GUACUGGCGUUAUUGGUUCCUCCCUUCUGAAGAACCACGAUGUCAUUAAUUUGGUGUCGCGGGGAAUCAGGACUGUUACUUUGAAAAAAUUAGAGUGUUUAAAGCAGGCUCGCGCUUGAAUACAUUAGCAUGGAAUAAUGAAAUAGGACGUUUGAUUCUAUUUUGUUGGUUUCUAGGAUCGACGUAAUGAUUAAUAGGGAUAGUUGGGA